rnacentral:rRNA from 1 species
UACAGAGGUCUCAAGCGUUGUUCGGAUUCAUUGGGCGUAAAGGGUGUGUAGGUGGCGCGCUAAGUCGGGUGUGAGAUUUCGGAGCUUAACUCCGAAACUGCAUUCGAUACUGGCGUGCUUGAGGACUGGAGAGGAGACUGGAAUUCAUGGUGUAGCAGUGAAAUGCGUAGAGAUCAUGAGGAAGACCAGUGGCGAAGGCGGGUCUCUGGACAGUUCCUGACACUGAGACACGAAGGCCAGGGGAGCAAACGGG